rnacentral:sRNA from 1 species
GCUGGGUGUGGUGGUGCACAUCUAUAAUCCCAGCUACUCAGGAGGCUGAGGCAGGAGGAUCUCAAGUUGGAGGUCAGCCUCAGCAACUUAGUGAGACCCUGUAUUCU